rnacentral:rRNA from 1 species
AAUACAUGCAGUCGACAGGCAGGGUAUCUUCGGGAUGCGGCGAGUGGGGACGGGUGGUAACGCGUAUGCAACCUACCUAUCACAGGGGGAUAGCCCGGGGAAACUCGGAUUAAUACCCCAUAAAGCAGGGGUUUCGCAUGGGACUAUUUGCUAAAGAUUUAUCGGUGAUAGAUGGGCAUGCGUCUAGAUUAGUUAGUUGGUGGGGUAACGGCCCACCAAGGCGACGAUCAGUAGGGGGUCUGAGAGGAUGAUCCCCCACACUGGCACUGAGAUACGGGCCAGACUCCUACGGGAGGCAGCAGUAGGGAAUAUUGGUCAAUGGGCGAGAGCCUGAACCAGCCAUGCCGCGUGCAGGAAGACGGCCUUCUGGGUUGUAAACUGCUUUUCUACGGGAAUAAAAAGGUUCUGCGGGACAAAUUGCAUGUACCGUAGGAAUAAGCACCGGCUAACUCCGUGCCAGCAGCCGCGGUAAUACGGAGGGUGCAAGCGUUGUCCGGAUUAAUUGGGUUUAAAGGGUGCGUAGGCGGAUAAUUAAGUCAGGGGUGAAAGGCAUUGGCUCAACCAGUGAAUUGCCUUUGAUACUGGUUAUCUUGAGUACAGUAGAGGUGGGCGGA